UACGGGGGGGGCAAGCGUUGUUCGGAAUUACUGGGCGUAAAGGGCUCGUAGGCGGCCAACUAAGUCAGACGUGAAAUCCCUCGGCUUAACCGGGGAACUGCGUCUGAUACUGGAUGGCUUGAGUUUGGGAGAGGGAUGCGGAAUUCCUGGUGUAGCGGUGAAAUGCGCAGAUAUCAGGAGGAACACCGGUGGCGUAGGCGGAUCUCUGGGCCUUACCUGACGCUCAGGUGCGAAAGCUAGGGGAGCGAACAGG
rnacentral:rRNA from 1 species